AAUCAUCGAAACUCUCCGCCAUGGCACCCCGACCUUCUUUGGAUCGGAACAAUUCUGUGCGGCUUCGUUGUCUCUCGCUCUUUUGAAGAUCAAGCUAAUCAAGAAAAUUCCAGCGGCGUCCCUGGACAUCCACUCCUCCAAUCCUGUAGGUACCAUUUCUUCCAAAAUCAAACCCAAAUUCUUUUUCCCUCAUUCUUCUGGUCAAUUAUGUUUAUUAUUAUCAGGGGUUUGAUUAUUUUUUGUGUUUGCUUUAUAAUUUGAUUUGGCGGUGUGUGAAACUUACCUUUUUUUAUCUUGAUGCUAGAGGCUUUGUUUAAAUUGAUCAAACUGAUUGAUUUGCUUUGUGAUUGGUUGAACUUUUAGUUGAUGGGCGAUUAGCCCUGGCCAUAUCUAGACUCUUUGUGCUGAAGAAUCAGCGAUAUGCUCUGAAGUUUGUGGCUUGAUCUAAUGUUGUUGAGCUACUCGGAUCUCAAUCGAGUACUUCUUGAUCGAUCUUGACAAACACAAUUUUUGUCCCCUGCUGUAAUGCAUGUUGUGCCUUGUACCGGUUUUUAAUUCGAUAUCGGAUUUGACAGGUUGAGCAGGUGAUCAAGGAGAAGAAUAUGGUGAUGUGUUUGUUAGAGUAGAAGGUUAAUGUCAUUUAUUUGUGGAGAGCCUGAUCUUGUAGACAAAGAAAAGUUAGUUUUUUUUGCACUUAUUCAUGUGUGUUAUCUGAAGCAUUUGAUCUGAAGAUGAUUUGAUUUCCUCUUUACACAGGAUGUUCAGAAUAGUUGAAGGAGGUGGUAUCAAGCUUGAUUUUUCUUCUACAAGAUGCGGAGAGUUUCCAGGAUUUCAACAGAUGCGCACAAUGUUCACAUCAUGUUUUUGGAAGGAAUUUGUGGCUCGUGGUGCUGAAUUACACAACAAUUGUAAAGCCAAUACUAAGGUAGAUUUGAAAUUUAAAAUAAUUCGUUCCAGACUCAAGCGAACAAUACGAUUGUACUUUUUUUGUGAUCUAUAUGUAGAUGGUCGCAAGGCUGUCAACUGGAGUAGGAUGAAGGUCCUCAGAGUAAUUGCUUGCUUCGGAGAAUGGCAUUAAUUUACAAAUUAAAGAGGAGUCCUCCAUGACAAUAGAGGUAAGGAAGCAACAUUAUUUCAAAUAAACAAGUAUAGGAGCUUAAAUUUGCAAUCAUAGAAGUACAGAUUUUUUUGAGAUAUGCAAACUUAUCAGAUACAACUCUACUCCUGCAGAACUGCACACCCUCGUAGGGAAGGAAUUUGUCUUCAAACUGACACUUAACAAGUACAAUUGAGUUGAUGGCCGCAAGGACUAUGGAGUUUCUACGGUAUAUGUACCCGUGCAAGAUCUUGAACCUCCUUAUGCGAGGAAAAAUAAGCCAUAGGUAAGCGCGUUCCUUCAGCUGCAGCCUAUGUUAUACUUCUUGCUUGUGCUUAUUGAAAGCUUAUUUGUUUUGUAGUUUAGCACACACUCAUGAUAAUGUGAUUCACUCAUUAUUUAAACUAUGCUCUGUGUGUUAAGCAAUGCCUCUGAUUUUCUGUUUUUAUUUCUUCUCGCUUGGAUUUAUUUCUUUUAUAUUAGUGCCCCUUUCACCAGAAAAAUCAAUCUUAAAAUGUUCUCUGCUCUUUAAAAUGUGCAUAAUAAUAAAUAAUUUAACUAAUUAUCACCUUAAGAUCCUCUCAAAUUUUCUUUUGAAAUAGUGUGCCAGUUUAAUAUAGAGGAACAAUAUAUAAAUUGCAGAAGUACAUGCAUACAUUGAAAUUUAAUUUAAAUAAGAAUUGUUGGGCUUUCAAGUUCAAAGUAUUGCAGGAGUACAUGCAUACAUUGAAAUUUAAUUUAAAUAAGAAUUGUUGGACUUUCAAGUUCAGAGUAUUGCAGGAGUACAUGCAUACAUUGAAAUUUAAUUUAAAUAAGAUUGUUGGACUUUCAAGUUCAGUGUAGAUACGAAAAGGCCGCCGAAUUGAUAAGCUGUAAUGUGAUUAGAUGAGGUCUUAGAAAUUAUCUGUAAUGAAAUUCGAAGUUAAUUGCAUAAAAAGCAGUGUGAGUCUUCGAGACCUCACCUUGCAUUUGUUCCCGGCUGCCAUCACUUCAAGAGGGUUGUUCGUCUGUAAAUCAGGCUAAUGGCGAUAAAGAUGAUGAUAUAACAACUAAUAUUGUUAUUAAUAAUUUAAAGUUAUGGAGGCCGUUUAAAUUAUUUUCUCUAGCUCAUUUAAGAAGUAAUUAAUCUUUGUCAUGCGCUGCUUGUCAUCUUCCAGGCUGCCCUCGAUCAGGCGGAGUCUUCAGCAUCUGCUGGCAAAGUGGAAGCAG
rnacentral:lncRNA from 1 species